CCCCCGCCGCUCCCAUUUGCGCACACCACCUUUCGUCCGUUCCGUCCGUGAGAGAGAGAGAGAGCGGCAAUGACGAAGCCGGCCGAUCGGCCACGGUUGACGAUGGAGGACUACGUCCUCUUCUUCACCGCCCGCAGCGGUCGAGGCCUCACCGUCGACCAACUCAACUAGGUCGGGCAGAUCCCUCCUCCAUCUCCCUCUCCGCGCCCAUGUCCGCCGCCCUCCUUCCCUUAACUUCUCCUGUUCGCGUCGCAGAUCCUCUUCCCUUCAUGCACGGCUUCAAGAAGUUCCACAAGUCCAACAAGUUCCCUCUGCUUCCCAAGAGCAGCCUGCUGCAGAGGCUGAUCGUGGAGGCGAGCCAGGGCGGCGCCGACGAGGUCCGCGUGGACGGCCUCCCCGGCGGCGCGAGGGCCUUUGAGAUCUGCGCCAAGUGCUGCUACGGCAUGGUGGUCACGCUCAACCCGUACAACGUCGUGGCCGCGAGGUGCACCGCCUUGGCAUGACGGAGGACGUGGACAAGAGCAACCUCGUGUUCAAGAUCGAGGUGUUCCUCAACUCGGGCGUCUUCCGGAGCUGGAAGGACUCCAUCAUCGCGCUGCAGAGCACCGUCGCGCUGCUGCCGUGGUCCGAGGAGCUCAGGCUCGUCGCGCGGUGCAUCGACUCCAUCGCCGCCAAGGCCACGGCCAGCCCCGGGAGCGUGGUCUGGUCCUACACGUACAACCGGAAGGCGGCGUCCUCUGAUGAGAUCGUCGAGGCUCGCCGGUGCUCGUCGUCGCCGCCGGCGGUGCCACGGGACUGGUGGGUGGAGGACCUGUGCGAGCUGGACCUGGAGCUCUACAAGCGCGUCAUGGUGGCGGUCAAGUCCACGGGGGAUAGGCUGCCUCCCGAUGUCGUCGGGGAAGCUCUCAGGGCCUACGCCGCGAGGUGGCUCCCCGAGAGUUGCCGGCGCGGCGACAUCCCGGCAGAUGAUGACGAUGCUUGCUCCUUGGAAGUGCUCGAGACCAUCGUGUGGCUCAUGCCGUCCGACGGCGACGGGUCGUCGCCGUGCGGCUACUCGUGCCAGUUCCUCCUGAACCUAGUGAAGCUCGCCGUCCUGGUCGGGGCAGGGGAGCUGCUGAGGGAGGAACUCCUGGACAGGAUCGUCCUGCAGCUGCACGAUGCAUCGGUGAACGAUCUCCUGAUACCGGCCAAGCCGCCGGCGCAGACCGCCUACGACGUCGACCUGGUCGAGGCGCUGGUCGGCCGGUACACGCGGCGCGCCGGAGUGGACGACAUUGACGGGGAGGAUGUGUUCGAGACGAACGUGGAGGCGGACGGCCCUUCCUUGCCGGCGCUGUGCAAGCUCGUCGACGGGUACUUGACCGAGGUCGCCGCCUACCCGAACCUGCCGGUUUCGAGCUUCGUCGGGCUGUCGACCUCCAUGCCGGAGUCGGCCAGGCCAUCGCACGAUGCCCUGUACACUGCCAUUGAUGUCUUCCUCAAGAUGCACCCGAAUCUGUCCAAGGUGGAGAAGAGGAGGAUCUCGAGCCUGAUGGACGUGAAGAAGCUGUCCAAGGAGGCGAGCAUCCACGCGGCGCAGAACGACCGCCUCCCGCUGCGCGUGGUGCUGCAGGUGCUCUUCUUCGAGCAGAUGCGCGCGGCGGCGGCGGGGAGCACGAGCGUGGCGCUCCUGCUGGCCAUCGCCGGCGACGGCAACGCGCACCUGGAACUGGACGACGACGACGGCGGCGGCGACUGCUGGAAGAACCGCGCGUUGGCUCUGCCGGAGCCACCGACCCCGUCCGCGGCCCUGAGGAAGCAGAUCGGGAGCAUGAGCCUGAAGCUGGUGGGCGAGGACCGCCGCCGCGCCGAGGUCGUCGUCAGCGACGGGCGGCGCUCCUCGCCAGCAUCGCGAACCAGAGCAGCAGGAUGUCGCUGUCGUCGCGGUCGCGGCGGAUCUUCGACCGGCUGUGGGUGGUCGGGAAGCCGCCGGGGCCGGGCGAGGUGGUGAGCAAGAGCUCCGACACGUCCGGGAGCUCGCAGAGCCCGCGGUCGUCGGGCAAGCCGCUGGGGUCCCACAAGUCGUCCGGCGGCUCGUCGUCGAGGAACUGGCGCUACUCGGUGUCGUAGGCUGGCGGCAGAGGCCGAGGCUGGCUGUACAGAGGAGUCGGUCGCCGUCGCCGGACCAGUGGACACCGACGACGGGUCAACUGCUGCUUGCAUUGCAUGCAUGCUAACUUGGAACUUCGAUUCGGGGGUCUGCUUUUUCCGGAGAACGAUCAGCUGUGGUAGAAUUUAGUGAUCUUUAUGAUUGUUUCGUCUGAACUUGACACGAUGGGCUGGUCCUUCUCUUCUGUUAGAACUCAUGGUGCUAUUCGAUCAGCAGUCAAUCUUCAAUGCAGAUCCCCGAACGGAUAUCAUUUUAGUUGCCUGCAUCGUUUUUGACAUCUUUGCAUACUUGUCUCGCAAAUGCCAUGUCAAAACCAAUAGUUGCAUGUCUUGAUUGGUUGCAUGUAUUGCAUGAGUGGUCAAUUAAGGCCUGUUAUUUGGUUGCCUGCAUUUGUAAACACAUCUGUUUGGCUGGUUGUAAGUAGUUGCAGUAGUUUCUUUCUACCCCUAAUGAUCUGAUCUUGUUGGUGA